UACGAAGGGGGCUAGCGUUGCUCGGAAUCACUGGGCGUAAAGCGCACGUAGGCGGAUUGCUAAGUCAGGGGUGAAAUCCUGGAGCUCAACUCCAGAACUGCCUUUGAUACUGGCGAUCUUGAGUCCGGGAGAGGUGAGUGGAACUGCGAGUGUAGAGGUGAAAUUCGUAGAUAUUCGCAAGAACACCAGUGGCGAAGGCGGCCUGCUGGGCAGUUUCUGACGCUGAGGCGCGACAGCGUGGGGAGCAAACAGG
rnacentral:rRNA from 1 species